AAACUGAGGAUAAUACCGGAUAGGCAAUUAUUCCUGUAAUGGUUUUUUGUUUAAAUGUUUUUUCGCCUAAGGAUGGGUCUGCGGCCGAUUAGGUAGUUGGUUAGGUAAUGGCUUACCAAGCCGUUGAUCGGUACGGGUUGUGAGAGCAAGAGCCCGGAGAUGGAACCUGAGACAAGGUUCCAGGCCCUACGGGGUGCAGCAGGCGCGAAACCUCCGCAAUGUGAGAAAUCGCGACGGGGGGAUCCCAAGUGCCAUUCUUAACGGGAUGGCUUUUCAUUAGUGUAAAAAGCUUUUGGAAUAAGAGCUGGGCAAGACCGGUGCCAGCCGCCGCGGUAACACCGGCAGCUCUAGUGGUAGCAAUUUUUAUUGGGCCUAAAGCGUCCGUAGCCGGUUUAAUAAGUCUCUGGUGAAAUCCUGUAGCUUAACUGUGGGAAUUGCUGGAGAUACUAUUAGACUUGAGACCGGGAGAGGUUAGAGGUACUCCCAGGGUAGAGGUGAAAUUCUGUAAUC
rnacentral:rRNA from 1 species